AAGUUGUAACAAGGUUUCCGUAGGUGAACCUGCGGAAGGAUUAUUACAUUCAGUAGCUUGCUACUGUUAGGGAGGUCGGUUAGUCUGUAUAGUAUCACUACUGAUGAGCAGCACGGCCUUCUGUCUGUACCCUUGUCUUUUGCGCACUCAUGUUUCCUCGGCUGGGUUUACGCCCGCCGGCUGGACAACUCUAUAACCUUUUUAAUUUUUAAUCAGCGUCUGAAAAACCUAAUAAUUACAACUUUCAACAACGGAUCUCUUGGUUCUG
rnacentral:misc_RNA from 1 species